UACAGAGGUCCCAAGCGUUGUUCGGAUUCACUGGGCGUAAAGGGUGCGUAGGCGGUCGGGUAAGUCUGAUGUGAAAUCUCACAGCUUAACUGUGAAACUGCAUUGGAUACUAUCCAGCUCGAGGAAUGGAGGGGAGACUGGAAUACUUGGUGUAGCAGUGAAAUGCGUAGAUAUCAAGUGGAACACCAGUGGCGAAGGCGAGUCUCUGGACAUUUCCUGACGCUGAGGCACGAAAGCCAGGGGAGCAAACGGG
rnacentral:rRNA from 1 species